rnacentral:rRNA from 1 species
GCUUGCUCCACCGGAAAAAGAGGAGUGGCGAACGGGUGAGUAACACGUGGGUAACCUGCCCAUCAGAAGGGGAUAACACUUGGAAACAGGUGCUAAUACCGUAUAACAAUCGAAACCGCAUGGUUUUGAUUUGAAAGGCGCUUUCGGGUGUCGCUGAUGGAUGGACCCGCGGUGCAUUAGCUAGUUGGUGAGGUAACGGCUCACCAAGGCCACGAUGCAUAGCCGACCUGAGAGGGUGAUCGGCCACAUUGGGACUGAGACACGGCCCAAACUCCUACGGGAGGCAGCAGUAGGGAAUCUUCGGCAAUGGACGAAAGUCUGACCGAGCAACGCCGCGUGAGUGAAGAAGGUUUUCGGAUCGUAAAACUCUGUUGUUAGAGAAGAACAAGGAUGAGAGUAACUGUUCAUCCCUUGACGGUAUCUAACCAGAAAGCCACGGCUAACUACGUGCCAGCAGCCGCGGUAAUACGUAGGUGGCAAGCGUUGUCCGGAUUUAUUGGGCGUAAAGCGAGCGCAGGCGGUUUCUUAAGUCUGAUGUGAAAGCCCCCGGCUCAACCGGGGAGGGUCAUUGGAAACUGGGAGACUUGAGUGCAGAAGAGGAGAGUGGAAUUCCAUGUGUAGCGGUGAAAUGCGUAGAUAUAUGGAGGAACACCAGUGGCGAAGGCGGCUCUCUGGUCUGUAACUGACGCUGAG